GGUGGAAAGCUCCGGCGGUGCAGGAUGAGCCCGCGGCCUAUCAGCUUGUUGGUGAGGUAGUGGCUCACCAAGGCGACGACGGGUAGCCGGCCUGAGAGGGCGACCGGCCACACUGGGACUGAGACACGGCCCAGACUCCUACGGGAGGCAGCAGUGGGGAAUAUUGCACAAUGGGCGAAAGCCUGAUGCAGCGACGCCGCGUGAGGGAUGACGGCCUUCGGGUUGUAAACCUCUUUCAGCAGGGAAGAAGCGAAAGUGACGGUACCUGCAGAAGAAGCGCCGGCUAACUACGUGCCAGCAGCCGCGGUAAUACGUAGGGCGCAAGCGUUGUCCGGAAUUAUUGGGCGUAAAGAGCUCGUAGGCGGCUUGUCGCGUCGGUUGUGAAAGCCCGGGGCUUAACCCCGGGUCUGCAGUCGAUACGGGCAGGCUAGAGUUCGGUAGGGGAGAUCGGAAUUCCUGGUGUAGCGGUGAAAUGCGCAGAUAUCAGGAGGAACACCGGUGGCGAAGGCGGAUCUCUGGGCCGAUACUGACGCUGAGGAGCGAAAGCGUGGGGAGCGAACAGGAUUAGAUACCCUGGUAGUCCACGCCG
rnacentral:rRNA from 1 species